GAUGAACGCUGGCGGUGUGCCUAAAACAUGCAAGUCGAACGCCCCGCAAGGGGAGUGGCGCACGGGUGAGUAACGCGUGGGAACGUGCCCCUUAGUACGGGACAACGUCGGGAAACUGACGCUAAUACCGUAUAAUAUCUCCGGAUCAAAGAUUUAUCGCUGAGGGAGCGGCCCGCGUCUGAUUAGCUUGUUGGUGAGGUAAUGGCUCACCAAGGCGACGAUCAGUAGCUGGUCUGAGAGGAUGAUCAGCCACAUUGGGACUGAGACACGGCCCAAACUCCUACGGGAGGCAGCAGUGGGGAAUAUUGGACAAUGGGCGCAAGCCUGAUCCAGCCAUGCCGCGUGAGUGAUGACGGCCUUAGGGUUGUAAAGCUCUUUUGCCCGGGAAGAUAAUGACGGUACCGGGAGAAUAAGCCCCGGCUAACUUCGUGCCAGCCGCCGCCGUAA
rnacentral:rRNA from 1 species